UACGAAGGGGGCUAGCGUUUGUUCGGAGUUUACUGGGCGUAAAGCGCACGUAGGCGGAUCGUUAAGUCGGGGGUGAAAUCCUGGAGCUCAACUCCAGAACUGCCUUCGAUACUGGCGAUCUUGAGUCCGGAAGAGGUGAGUGGAACUCCUAGUGUAGAGGUGGAAUUCGUAGAUAUUAGGAAGAACACCAGUGGCGAAGGCGGCUCACUGGUCCGGUACUGACGCUGAGGUGCGAAAGCGUGGGGAGCAAACAGG
rnacentral:rRNA from 1 species